CCAGACUCCUACGGGAGGCAGCAGUGAGGAAUAUUGGUCAAUGGUCGGGAGACUGAACCAGCCAAGCCGCGUGAGGGAGGAAGGUACAGAGUAUCGUAAACCUCUUUUGUCAGGGAACAAAGGCGGGGACGUGUCCCCGGAUGAGUGUACCUGAAGAAAAAGCAUCGGCUAACUCCGUGCCAGCAGCCGCGGUAAUACGUAGGGGGCGAGCGUUGUCCGGAAUCACUGGGCGUAAAGGGCGCGUAGGCGGUAAUAUAAGUCAGAUGUGAAAGGUGGGGGCUCAACCCCUAGAGUGCAACUGAUACUGUAUAACUUGAGUGUGAGAGAGGGAAGCGGAAUUCCUAGUGUAGCGGUGAAAUGCGUAGAUAUUAGGAGGAACACCAGUGGCGAAGGCGGCUUUCUGGCUCAUAACUGACGCUGAGGCGCGAAAGCGUGGGGAGCAAACAGGAUUAGAUACCCUGGUAGA
rnacentral:rRNA from 1 species